AACGCAUAUUGCACUCUCUGGCAUUCCGGAGGGCAUGCCUGUUUGAGUGUCAUGUAGACUCAAUCCCUCGGGUUUCCGAGGAGAUUGGACUUGGGUGUUGCCGCUCUGCCGGCUCGCCUUAAAAGACUUAGCGGGAUAGCACCGUAGUCGGCGUAAUAAGUUUCGUCGGUGAAGGUUGUGAUGACUGCUUACAAUCGCCCUCGGGCAAUUUUUGACUCUGACCUCAAAUCAGGUAGGACUACCCGCUGAACUUAA
rnacentral:misc_RNA from 1 species